rnacentral:lncRNA from 1 species
AUUAUGAACACUUUUUUAAGUUUUGGAAAAUUUAAUUUAAUGAACUCAUUUAGAAUAUUGUUCCUUAUUCGCAUUUUCUAUGGCUUAGCAUUAUACAUUUCAUAUCCCUGAAUUUAAUUGAGUACUUAGUGAUUAGGAAUUUCCCUCCCAAUAUAUGAUUAGCAGAUGGAAAGAAAAUAGAUUAAUUUAACUUCAGUUUGCUUUGUAUUUGAGUUUAGCCUUCUUGCCAUUAUCAGGUCUUAAAUGGCAUCAUUUCUAAUUGUCUUUCUUGCCAGAGUGCCAACGUGAAGGCAGAGAUGCCAAGUGCAAGCUGCCUCCUCCCAACUUUAGAGCUCAAGUGCCAACCACAUACUGUCUGAUUACAUGGCAGGGCACAUGCAGUCAUAUUCAUCUCUCAAGACCUUCAAAGCUGCUUUUAUAUUAUUGCUUCGGUUUCCAUGGCAAUCAACGCCUACAUUUUCAAGGCUCCCCUCUGUGCUGCACGGAAUCCCAAUGUGCUCACAUGGCAAGAGUCCUGAUAUUGUUCUCCUUCAUUACAAUAGACAAGAUCUUAAAAGUGCACAAAAUAUUGAUGAUUCUUUAAGAGAAAAAAAAUCAGAUGUUGAGAUUCAGCAUUCCCUUAAAAUGCAGCUGGAAAGAAUGCUGCACCUUUACUUAAAGAAGAGUACAUCGUUUGUAUUCCUUAGAAGAUGGUCUUGGGAACUUGUGGCAGAAAAGAAGAGCUGA